UACGUAGGGUGCAAGCGUUGUCCGGAAUUAUUGGGCGUAAAGAGCGUGUAGGCGGCCAGGUAGGUCUGCUGUGAAAACUCGAGGCUCAACCUCGAGACGGCGGCGGAAACCAUCUGGCUAGAGUCCGGAAGAGGAGAGUGGAAUUCCUGGUGUAGCGGUGAAAUGCGCAGAUAUCAGGAAGAACACCCGUGGCGAAGGCGGCUCUCUGGGACGGUACUGACGCUGAGACGCGAAAGCGUGGGGAGCGAACAGG
rnacentral:rRNA from 1 species